rnacentral:rRNA from 1 species
UACAGAGGGGGCAAGCGUUGUUCGGAAUUACUGGGCGUAAAGGGCGCGUAGGCGGCCCUCUAAGUCGAACGUGAAAUCCCCAGGCUUAACCUGGGAACUGCGUCGGAUACUGGAUGGCUUGAAUUCGGGGAGAGGAUGCAGAAUUCCAGGUGUAGCGGUGAAAUGCGUAGAUAUCUGGAGGAAUACCGGUGGCGAAGGCGGCAUCCUGGACCGACAUUGACGCUGAGC